GUGUGGUUUCAAUUGCAUUUCCAUUUUUUUAAACUCCCAAAAAUGUACAUUUGUGCAACUCAAACAAAAGCAGAGCCAUUCCAGUGAUAACUAGGCAUCAACAACCUCCUUCAAAUUCUUUUAAGCUGUACUUUGGGCUGGUUUAUCCAAGAAUUCACUACUGAACAACAACAAGAAAAAUUCAAGUUGGGUUUGGAUUUACUAGGAGACAGUUCUGUCCACAGUAUUCAGGUGAUUGGCCUGUUGAGCUUACUUUUGUUGAUGUUAAAUUUAUUGCAGCAAAACAAAGUGCAAGAGCUGGUGAGUUUACCAGAAGAUGAAGCUUAUCUCCCUGCAUGUUGGGUCAUCCUGAACUGACGUGCUUGGGGUUUUUUUUACAUCUCUUCAUGGUAUUUUUCCCUUUGAGUCAUAAAGUGAUCGAUCCACUUCGUGAGGAUUAUUAUUGAUUCAGGCAUCAGUGUCUGAUCUUCAGCAAACGCAAGACUGGAAGAGCAGGUCCAGCUUCAGGUCCAGCCAGAAAGCUCAUGAAGCAAGCAAGGCCUUGUCCUUCUUAGCAGGAAAAAGGUAGAGAGUGAGGUGGAGAGACCUGAAUGCCAAGAAAAAUGUGAAGAGAUAUUGGAUCUGGUCAUGUUCCCCCCCACAAGUCUGGAAGAGUUACUGGAUCAGUCAGAGGAAAGCAGCUGUACAAAUCAGUUAUCAGCUGCUGAAUGUUUGGAAAUGGAAACUACCAGGA